rnacentral:rRNA from 1 species
UUGGUGGGGUGAUGGCCUACCAAGGCAGUGACGGGUAGCCGGCCUGAGAGGGCGACCGGCCACACUGGGACUGAGACACGGCCCAGACUCCUACGGGAGGCAGCAGUGGGGAAUAUUGCGCAAUGGGCGGAAGCCUGACGCAGCGACGCCGCGUGAGGGAUGACGGUCUUCGGAUUGUAAACCUCUUUCACCCACGACGAAGCGAAGGUGACGGUAGUGGGAGAAGAAGCACCGGCCAACUACGUGCCAGCAGCCGCGGUAAUACGUAGGGUGCAAGCGUUGUCCGGAAUUAUUGGGCGUAAAGAGCUCGUAGGCGGCUUGUCACGUCGACUGUGAAAACCCGGGGCUCAACUCCGGGCCUGCAGUCGAUACGGGCUGGCUUGAGUGCGGUAGGGGAGACUGGAAUUCCUGGUGUAGCGGUGAAAUGCGCAGAUAUCAGGAGGAACACCGGUGGCGAAGGCGGGUCUCUGGGCCGUAACUGACGCUGAGGAGCGAAAGCGUGGGGAGCGAACAGGAUUAGAUACCCUGGUAGUCCACGCCGUAAACGUUGGGCGCUAGGUGUGGGGACCUAUCCACGGUCUCCGUGCCGCAGCUAACGCAUUAAGCGCCCCGCCUGGGGAGUACGG